UACAGAGGUCUCAAGCGUUGUUCGGAUUCAUUGGGCGUAAAGGGUGCGUAGGCGGCGCGGUAAGUCGGGUGUGAAAUCUCGGGGCUUAACUCCGAAACUGCAUUCGAUACUGCCGUGCUUGAGGACUGGAGAGGAGACUGGAAUUUACGGUGUAGCGGUGAAAUGCGUAGAUAUCGUAGGGAAGACCAGUGGCGAAGGCGGGUCUCUGGACAGUUCCUGACGCUGAGGCACGAAGGUCAGGGGAGCAAACGGG
rnacentral:rRNA from 1 species